AUUGAACGCUGGCGGCAGGCUUAACACAUGCAAGUCGAGCGGAGCGAGGGUGCUUGCACCUUAGCUUAGCGGCGGACGGGUGAGUAAUGCUUAGGAAUCUGCCUAUUAGUGGGGGACAACAUUCCUAAAGGGAUGCUAAUACCGCAUACGCCCUACGGGGGAAAGCAGGGGAUCUUCGGACCUUGCGCUAAUAGAAGAGCCUAAGUCGGGUUAGCUAGUUGGUGGGGUAAAGGCCUACCAAGGCGACGAUCUGUAGCUGGUCUGAGAGGAUGAUCAGCCAAACUGGGACUGAGACACGGCCCAGACUCCUACGGGAGGCAGCAGUGGGGAAUAUUGGACAAUGAGGGGAACCCUGAUCCAGCCAUGCCGCGUGUGUGAAGAAGGCCUUUUGGUUGUAAAGCACUUUAAGCGAGGAGGAGGCGCUCUAGGUUAAUACCCUAGAUGCGUGGACGUUACUCGCAGAAUAAGCACCGGCUAACUCUGUGCCAGCCGCCGCAGUAAAAC
rnacentral:rRNA from 1 species